AGGAAAUGGAAUUCAAGAAUAUUAGCAGCCUUGGCAAUGAUAUUUGCUUAGCACUUCACAAAUCAUUUUUAUAUCCAUUAUCUGGGCUGAUACGGGUUUGUUGAAGGACACACAGAUAAGAAUUAAGAAUAUGUAAAGAAUAUAUGACUUCUCAUUACAUCUCCUGCAUGGAAGGGCCCUAUGUACUUUAAAUACUUUCUGCCUGAAAUGAGGAGCUGGGAGUGGAUAUUGUGACCCUGUGUGGCUCCUGCAUGGACACGUCCUCCAAGUCAGAGGAGUAGGGAUCCAUGAUGAAGGAGCAUUGGAAGGAGGGAAAGGAAUAAGAAAGUGGAUAAAACCACAAUUCUCAGAAGUCCUCUUCAACGUGGGUGUAUGCCACUGCCACUUGCAUUUCUCUGGUCAAAGCGCGUCACAUGGCCAGGUCUGAUGACAGUGGACAGAGGUAUACUCCUCCCCACAGGGAGACGAGCAGGUCACCUAGCAGUGGGUGGAUGGAUAAUCCUUUUACCAUGGUCAGGGAAUAACCAGGAGCGGUAAGACAAUGCACAGUUCAUCCUCUCUAUUCAUGAUUCUGUAUUUGCGAAUUUGCCUACUCACUAAAAUUUAUUUGUAAUCCCCAAACUAACAGUCAUGCAUUUUGUGGUCUUGGGCAGACACACACAGAAUGGUGAAAACUUUGAGUUUUCCAAUGUGCACCUCCCCAGCUGAGGUUGCACGAGGCGACCUUGUCACCUUGUUUCAGCUCCCACGUAGAGAGAAGCAGAGGGUGGAGCUGGGAGCAGGCUGUGCAGUGCAGCUCAAGAAGCUCUGAUACUGGGCCAGUUGGACUAAAUCUGAAUCCC